CCUACGGGCGGCACCAGUGGGGAAUAUUGCACAAUGGGCGCAAGCCUGAUGCAGCCAUGCCGUGUGUAUGAAGAAGGCCUUCGGGUUGUAAAGUACUUUCAGCGGGGAGGAAGGUGUUGAGGUUAAUAACCUCAGCGAUUGACGUUACCCGCAGAAGAAGCACCGGCUAACUCCGUGCCAGCAGCCGCGGUAAUACGGAGGGUGCAAGCGUUAAUCGGAAUUACUGGGCGUAAAGCGCACGCAGGCGGUCUGUCAAGUCGGAUGUGAAACCCCCGGGCUCAACCUGGGAACUGCAUUCGAAACUGGCAGGCUAGAGUCUUGUAGAGGGGGGUAGAAUUCCAGGUGUAGCGGUGAAAUGCGUAGAGAUCUGGAGGAAUACCGGUGGCGAAGGCGGCCCCCUGGACAAAGACUGACGCUCAGGUGCGAAAGCGUGGGGAGCAAACAGGAUUAGAUACCCUUGUAGUC
rnacentral:rRNA from 1 species